rnacentral:rRNA from 1 species
CCCUAGUAUAUAAAAUGAGUUUGUUAAUUAGUAAUUUAAGAAAAUUAAUAGUUUUGGCGGUUAUUUAUUUAUUAGAGGAGCUUGUUUGGAUAAGAAAUUUUUCUUUAUAUUUUAACUAUUUAAGGGGUUAUUCAUUUCUGUUAUAAAAUGGAUUUGGUUUUUAAAAAUUUAUUUAAUAUUUUAGGUCAAGAUGUACCUUGAAUUGAAAAGAAUUAGCUACAAUUAUGUAAUGUAUUGAAUGGGUAUAUUUAUAUUAAAUUAUUUUUGAAGGGAAAUUUUAAUAUUAAAUAAUGGUAUAUAAAUUGAAUUUAGUUGUAAUAAUAAUUAGAAAAUAGUUAUGAAGGAUUAUAAUUAAUGAA